CAAGAAGAAAAUAAACAGAAGUUGAAAUUCACACUCGGUGUUACUACCUCCUGCACUCCCACACGCUAUGAGAUGUGGUUUUCAGUGAAGAGUAUGUCAGUCACUCUUGUCACAGCGAAGUCCUCAAAGGGAUGAGGGAGCCUAGGAGGAAAGGUCACCUGCCACUGUUUCUCCUCCAAGACCACCAUGUGCUUCCGAUUUCUCUUCUGCAUCAGUCUUUUUUGCUGGAGAGCAUGCUCUGCAAGCACUGAGGUUAUCCAGAGUCCUAGAUAUCUGGUCAAAGGAAAAGAACAGAAAGCAAUGAUGAAUUGUGUCCCCAUGAAAUCCCACGUUCAUGUUUAUUGGUACCAUCAAAAGCUGCAUGGAGAGUUGAAGUUUUUGGUGUACUUACAGAGUGAAGAUAUUAUUGAUAAAACUGAAACAUAUGUUGAGAAAUUUUUAGCCAAAUGUCCCAAAAACUUGCCCUGCAGUCUGGAAAUCAAGUCUGCUGAAGCAGAGGAUUCAGCAUCUUACUUCUGUGCCAGCAGCCAAUCCACAGUGCUAGAUGUUAGCUCUUCUCAGACCACAAACUCAUCAUGGAGCAACUCAAGUAGUUUGUAGGCUAUUAAGGGGCUGGAGCCAGCAGAGGCCCCAUUCGAAAUACUGGAGUAUAAACCAAGAGGGAACUGUGCAAAUGACAACUCUAGGUGAAGAGGAAUGAAGGAUUAGACCCCAGGGUCCAAGGGAGGAAAGGUGCCAAGCAGGUUCAGAUUUCCCUGUUUUCAGAAUAUUAAGCAGAGAAAAUAUUCAGAACCAUUUUUCAUGAGUUUGAUAAUUUCUAACAAAUACAUAUGUGGACAAGGAUAAUGGACAGGUCAUUGGACUACACCAGGAACUCUAUAUGGGUUUCAUGAUGGCUUCUCAGAGAUUUUACUACCUUAAAAACCUAGUUCGAAAAUCAGCAACUCUCCACCUUGGAUAAUGGGGCCAUCCUGCACCUUUUAAAUGCAAUGCUAUUGAGGUUGCAACAUACCUGCAAUUAAAAAAAAACAUUCAUUCUAAGCAUGAUUUUCAGUUCUCUUGACA